UUCACCCUUGUCUUUUGCGUACUUCUUGUUUCCUUGGUGGGUUCGCCCACCACUAGGACAAACAUAAACCUUUUGUAAUUGCAAUCAGCGUCAGUAACAAAUUAAUAAUUACAACUUUCAACAACGGAUCUCUUGGUUCUGGCAUCGAUGAAGAACGCAGCGAAAUGCGAUAAGUAGUGUGAAUUGCAGAAUUCAGUGAAUCAUCGAAUCUUUGAACGCACAUUGCGCCCUUUGGUAUUCCAAAGGGCAUGCCUGUUCGAGCGUCAUUUGUACCCUCAAGCUUUGCUUGGUGUUGGGCGUCUUGUCUCUAGCUUUGCUGGAGACUCGCCUUAAAGUAAUUGGCAGCCGGCCUACUGGUUUCGGAGCGCAGCACAAGUCGCACUCUCUAUCAGCAAAGGUCUAGCAUCCAUUAAGCCUUUUUUUCAACUUUUGACCUCGGAUCAGGUAGGGAUACCCGCUGAACUUAAGCAUAUCA
rnacentral:rRNA from 1 species